CUCCUCCCGAGUCAACUCCACCGGCCGCAGCCCGCAGCUGUGGGGCUCUGCGCCUCUGCUCGCCGCGGCAGCUGACGGAGGCAAGCCAACGUACCCGCCCGUCGCUCGAUCCAGCCAGCGAUCCCGGCGCCGGCAGCGAGACACGAGAGGAGAAAUGGAGGCACCGCACCCGCAGGGCGAGGCCGCGGCGGGAUGGGUGACGGUCGAGGAGUGGAGGGGCUCGUCCGCCUCCAUGCUCUCCCGUACCGCCGUGCUCACUGCCUCCGCCUCCUCUCUGACCUCCCGCAGGUUCGGCAGCCGGUGGGGGCGGAUCGGCAGCCGCAUGCUGGGCGCCUUCGUGCCCGAGGGGUUUCCUGGGAGCGUGACUCCGGAUUAUGUCCCGUUCCAGACGUGGGAUACGUUGCAGGGGCUCUCCACGUACAUCCGUGCAAUGUUGUCUACACAAGCUCUUUUAGGUGCAAUUGGAGUGGGAGAACAAUCCGCUACUGUCAUAGGUGCUACUUUCCAGUGGUUUCUAAGGGAUUUGACAGGAAUGCUUGGAGGGAUAUUGUUCACCUUUUAUCAGGGAUCUAAUCUUGAUAGCAAUGCAAAGAUGUGGCGCCUAGUUGCAGACUUUAUGAACGACCUUGGAAUGUUGAUGGAUCUCUUAAGCCCUUUGUUCCCUUCAUCAUUGAUAGUUAUCAUGUGCUUAGGCAGCCUAUCUAGGUCAUUCACUGGUGUUGCUAGUGGAGCAACUAGAGCGGCACUAACACAGCAUUUUGCACUUGCAAAUAAUGCAGCCGAUAUUUCUGCAAAGGAAGGCAGUCAGGAGACACUUGCUACAAUGACAGGGAUGGGAUUGGGUAUGCUUUUGGCUCACAUUACCAGAGGGCAUGCUUUGAGUGUAUGGGUAUCAUUCCUUUCUCUCACAGUGUUCCACAUGUAUGCAAACUACAAGGCAGUGCAGUCACUUUCACUCACUACGCUUAACAGCGAGAGAGCUUCCAUCCUGCUUCAGUACUUCAAGGAAUGCAGUGAAGUUCUUGCACCGAAGCAGGUUUCUCAGCAGGAACAUAUUCUUCCUUUUUGGUCAAGCUGGAGGAAGUUAAUUAGAAUUAAACUACCACAUGAGCAUGUGCACUUAGGUGCUAAAGCCUCGAUGCUUACACACACUGACAUGUUGGAGAUUGCAAAAACAAGAUCCCACUAUGAAAACUACGUUUCUUUUUGCCAUCUGAGCAGCCAACUACCUAUUGCUGGAUAAGGAAGGCAGUGUUCACAUUUUCAUCCACAAGCAGGCAACCCCAGCUGAUGUUUUGAAGUCCUUCAUACAUGGGCUCGUGCUAACAAAUUUGUCGCAGAAUGGCAAAUCUCAGCACGCUGAGGCUCGUCGAUGGAUGGACGACAAAUAUACCACUUUUAUCUCCAAGCUGCAGGUAAAGGGUUACUCAACAGAACGCCUUCUGUCGCAUUCGAUUGUUUGGAGGGCACACUGGCUUCACGGCCAACUGGAUGAAAAGCUCGAGUAGGAGGAACGCAGCUAUCAGGCAUAUCGGCAUAUCACCCAAGUCUCGGCAAACUUGGGUGACAGCGUGGUAACAUGAUGAAAGACGGAUGGGUUUCAUUAAGACCAGUAAAUCUCGUUCUCUUUCGAGACUGUAGAAGGUCUGCACUGCCAAGUGCUGGCCUGUAUCAUCAGUUCAGCAUGCUACGCUCUAUGAUUCACAUUAGGUACAGCCUUACAGGAAAUACCCAAAACAACAUUAAACACUACCAUUGUGUUUGCUUAGUACUGGAUCACUUUAGUCUUUCUUAUGCAAUCCUACAACUUAAUGUGCUGG